UGAUUGCAAGAUCGAGAAUGUCUUGUGAUCCGUUGUGAUGUGUGUGGAUUGGCGUGUUAUCAUUGAAGACAAAUAAUUUGUUGUUAUCAAUGAAAUCGUGAAGAAUAUUGCCAUUACGGUUUGUUUUUCGGCAGUUAAAUUCGGAAUGUUUCGAGUUAAGGUCACCUAGUAUAAUUGCGUGCAUAUUUUGAUUGAUUGAAGAAGGUGGAUAUCAGGUUCUUUGCUGGGUGAUAUGUAAGUGGCAAGUAGUGCGAUUGUUGCGUGAUGGGGAGUGUGAAUGUUACAUAUAUACGGUUCGAAGAAGGUGAAUAUCAGGUUUUUUGCUGGGUGAUAUGUAAGUGGCAUGUAGUGCGAUUGUUGCGUGAUGGGGAGUGUGAAUGUUACAUAAGAUGUAUUCAUUGUUUGAGUUUAUGUUUAGAUUCGGAAAUGAGACUUUAAGGUCUUUCUUGACAAGUAACAUUAGCCCUUGAGAAUUCUGUGAUUUAGGUAUAGCGUUAAUGUAAUAGCUAGGGAAGGAGAAAUGACUAUUAGGUGAUAAAAAGGUUUCAUUGACUGCUAUUAUAUCUGCAUUUAAAUUUUGGUUAAAUAGUUCGUAUUUUUUAUCAUUUAACCCACCUUGAAUGUUAAUUUGCAAAAAUGUAAGCAUUUUACCUUGACCUAGGAGCAGUGAGGUUAAUCCUUCCAUCGAUUAAGUUCUUCAAGUCGUAGGGGUCAACUCUAUGGAGGGCGAAGUAAUAUCCGGCAGCAUGGCAGCCGUCAUUUAGUAGGUCUCCAGACGUAACAAUUUCCUUUCUGUUGAGACGGGAUAGGAUAUCCACGACAAAGGCUGUGAUGCAGUUGGCGAGGUUCGAAGAUUGGGACGAAGAUAUUGCAGUGUCUGUGUAAGUCCUAAAGCAGCUGGGUCCUGGAUCUGGUCUGGUUGGCUUCUGCUCAGGUGGUGGUCCUAGGUUCAUGGAGAGCUGGUGGCAGGCUUACUGGGCUUCGAUGGACGAGGCUCUGUGGGUUGGUCCAUUGGUUGCUUGGGCUAACCUGAAUGGCUGUUGGUUGUUGGGGCACCCACGGUAGGAGGAGAGGCGGCAUGCGGUCCUCCACAGUUGGAGCAUGUGGCUUUGUGUCACUGUCUUGGGCAUUCAGCUACUUCACUCUGGACGUACACACAGAAUGGGUGUGGCCAAACUUUUGGUAGUGAAAGCAUUGUAGAAAAGUUGGUUGUCUCGGUCUUGCAGACUCAACUGGAUGAUGGAUAUACCACAGGUUAGCACCUUUCUUGAUGAGAUCAGUUGCGUGGUUUAUGUUGGAUAGGCUGACUCAUACUAGGAGGGUUUCUUGACCAGUUUUGGCAGAUUUUAUCCUUUCAGCUUUGGUGGCUGAGAUGUCUUGAUAUUUUAGUUCUUGGAGUAUUUCUUCUGUAGUUAUGUCCAGUGGGACGCUUCUAAUUAUGAUGGCAUGUGAGGCUUCUGGCUGGUGGUCUCCAGGGACAUGGAUGUUUAGUUUGACAUUCUGGAAGGUUGCGGAGUCCUAUGGUUUAAGGAGCUUGGCGUAUUCUGCAGGGGUGUUAGUUUUAUUAACUCCUCCUUUGACUAAUCUUCGGACGGUCAUGAAGCAAAUCUUUGGGAAGAGUCUUAGUUUGCAGGCUUUUAUUGGGUGUCUUAAGUUAGCAUAAAUUCCUUUCACGACAAUCCUCCAGCAAUUGUCGUGAAAGGAAUUCAUUUGAGUUGCUGGCUGGCAGUCAUUGAUACUUGAGAUUCCGUGGGUUGCUUGCUUGUUGGUGAGCUGGCUGCUUGGUCAGUUAGUGUGGAUCUCUUGCUGUAUCUCGUGGUGCUGGGCGAGUUGUUUGGAUAUACUUGACUUGAACUGCUGGAGGCCAGUUCGAUACAACUCUGGAUCAUGGUGAGCUGUUUGGCAUUAGACAAGGGCUUACUGGUCAAUCUGGUACCCAUUUGUGAUGGGGUAACUGGAGUUGGUGAGUCCUCGGUGGAUUGGAGUUUUAGUUCCAGAUCUGGACUGGAACUUACUUCUCCACCCGAUGUCGUGGUAGGGAAGGAGAUAUUUGCUAAAUUAGUGUGAGUCGAGUUAUCAGUUUAAGAGCUAAGUUUGACACAAUGUCCUCUCACUGUUGCUCUUUUCUCUCUCUCUUGAUUCUUCUAAAAGGUAAAAAAAAACACAUCGUGUCGUAAUAGAUCUUUUAAACUAUCUCUCUGAAAUUUAAUAGAUGUGUUUAAUAUUCAAGGCUCAAUACCAGUAGUCUGCAAACCCUUGAAAAACGCGUAUGCCAAGAUAUCCGGUUUAAGUAAAUAAUUAUGUUUUUACUGGGUUUGUAUUAGUCGUCAUUUCAAGAAAUUGUUUCAUUACUAUUACCACGAAUACACUGAAAAAUUCUACCAGGAAAUUCAUUUUACACACAAAAUCGCGGGAAAAUUCGUGAAGUUUAUGUGAUUCGGUGAUGUUUCUAGGACACAGAUGGCGGAAAAACGAAUUAUUGUCAGCGCCAAAAAACACACACACCAGUUAAUUUUGGCGCAUUUGGCACGCCAGUAUGCGUAUCUUAUGCAUAAACAAUGUUUUGUAUACAUUGAUCGUUUUAUUUACCGGUAAUUUUUAUGAAGUAUGAAGGUCACUGUAAUAGAUUA
rnacentral:lncRNA from 1 species